CUGGGAGAGCUUUUGUAAACUAUUGAUGAGAUGGUACCUUGUACCUUCUCGCCUAGCCCAGCUAUACCCAGCUGUCCCGCGGGCAUGUUGGCGCUGUGGUGACGAAGUGGGCACAUUGCUUCAUGUCUUCUGGGAAUGUACCAAAUUGACACAAUUUUGGCAACAGGUCAGGUCACUGAUAAAGGAGGUGACAGAACUUAUCAUUCCACUACGCCCGGAAUGCUAUCUUCUACAUAUUCACACAGGUACACUGGCCUCCCCCCACAAGACAGUUAUAUAUCACAUAUUGUUAGCUGCAAAAACUAGCAUAGCCAGCAGAUGGAAAAGUUUAGAUCCCCCUAGCAUUCAGGAGGUGAAAAAUAGAGUCCACUCGACUUAUGACCAC